rnacentral:rRNA from 1 species
GUGAGGAAUAUUGGUCAAUGGUCGGAAGACUGAACCAGCCAUGCCGCGUGCAGGAAGACGGUCCUAUGGAUUGUAAACUGCUUUUAUUCGGGAAUAAACCUCUUUACGUGUAGGGAGCUGAAGGUACCGAAGGAAUAAGCACCGGCUAACUCCGUGCCAGCAGCCGCGGUAAUACGGAGGGUGCAAGCGUUAUCCGGAAUCAUUGGGUUUAAAGGGUCCGCAGGCGGGCUAUCAAGUCAGAGGUGAAAUCCCACAGCUUAACUGUUGAACUGCCUUUGAAACUGAUGGUCUUGAAUUAAGUGGGCGUUGGCGGAAUAUGACAUGUAGCGGUGAAAUGCAUAGAUAUGUCAUGGAACACCGAAAGCGAAGGCAGCUAACGAUACUUAUAUUGACGCUCAUGGACGAAAGCGUGGGUAGCGAACAGGAUUAGAAACCCGAGUAGUCC